rnacentral:rRNA from 1 species
CACGUAGGGCGCAAGCGUUGUCCGGAAUUAUUGGGCGUAAAGAGCUCGUAGGCGGUUUGUCGCGUCUGCUGUGAAAACGCGGGGCUCAACUCCGCGCCUGCAGUGGGUACGGGCAGACUAGAGUGAUGUAGGGGAGACUGGAAUUCCUGGUGUAGCGGUGAAAUGCGCAGAUAUCAGGAGGAACACCGAUGGCGAAGGCAGGUCUCUGGGCAUUAACUGACGCUGAGGAGCGAAAGCAUGGGGAGCGAACAGG